rnacentral:lncRNA from 1 species
AUGCACUCUGCACUGGCCGCCGGCACAGAGGGUCCUGCUGGGGACCUGGACGCCAGGACACGGGGUGCCUGUGGCUGGGAGGGGGCCGCCAUCUGGGCUCAUCUGCAAGCUGUGCACGGUGGCACCUGGGGGACAGAGGGGAGUCAUAUGUCCUGGGAGCCUGGCUGGAGACCUCCUGCCCCCAGCAGCGCUGACCACGCAGUGUCCCGGAGGGCGGAUACGACGCUGGGGGCCUACACCUCCCGCUCCACCUGGGUCUCUGCCCGGCAUGAGACACCGGCGGUAGCCAGAGCUCCACCAGGCACCCACUUACAAGCAGGGACUCGAGCACUGACCGCUGGCAGCACACCUGUGUCCUGCUGCCCACACCGGACAGAGGCCUGGAGCAGAAUUAGGCGGCUCAUGGGCGCCACACAGCCCACAACCGUGCAAAAAGCUCUGGACCCAGACAUAGGGCAGAGUGCGAGGCCCGCCCCCAGGAAGACACCCCAGGUGUGUGGCUCUGCAGUCUGGGCUCGUCGGGGUCACCGGCCGAUGCCAGGCACACGAGCAGUGCCCCCGGCCCCCUUCACCACAGGGAAGCCUGGUGGCCCACACCCUCCCCCUCCCCAGGCCCUGGGAUCUGUGGGCUGCUCUCCUGCAAGGCCACCCUGCCCCGCAGCCAAGCCGGUCCCCACUGUCCCUGCCCAGCCUCCGCGGCCUCUGCCAGUGAGGGCCAGGGCUGGAGAGGAAGCUGAUCCCAGCCAAGAGCCAUCUGUGCUCCCUGGGCAGCCGCCCACUGUCCUGGCCGGGCGGGGGAGGCGGGGACACAGGAGCUGCUGCGGUCACGGGUCCUCCAUGGCUCACUGGAGCCACCCAGCUGCCCAGAGCCCAGCCCGGCUCAGGCAGGCGCUGGCGGCCGUGGGGCUGGUGAUGAAACCCCGAGGCUGGUUGCGCCAGGUCCCCCCGGGAGGCAGCUGUUUGCUCAGCAAAGGGGCCGCAGGUGUGGGCCUGGGGGCUCUGAAUCCUGCUGCGGGGUUCACCCAGGGGAGCCCAGAAACACAGGGAUGCAGCAGGAGCCAUGCGGAGCAGCCCAGGGUGUGCACCCGGCACACACAGGAUGCUGGAAGCCCACCAGGUCCGAGUGCAGGCCUGGCCCCGGCCCCCCGGCCUGGGCGUGCGAGCAGCUUGGGCUCCCGGCCGAGGCCUCCAGGCCUGCUGGCCAGGGAACAGCCGGGUCUCAAGAGCAGGUGCCCGGCAGCCUCUGCAGCCCUCGGCCCGCCUCAGCCCCGCCUCUCCUCCCUCCCGGGGCACACGAGGCUGCAGGCGGGCAGCAGGGCGCCGUGGCAGCCACCACACCACCGCGGCCACGGGAGCACCACGCAUCUUCCUGGCCGUGCUUUGCAAGGAGCCCCAUUUCUGGACGAGCCAACAGAGGCCCAGAAAGGGCGAAUUUCUCUCCUGAAGCCACACAGCCAGCACGAGGCUAAGCCGCGACAGGAACCUGGCUGUGUCUGGUCCCCAGGGGGGACUCGAGCCAUGCCCCUCCCCCAUCUCCUCUGCUGA